rnacentral:lncRNA from 1 species
UUGAAGCGUAUAUUACGCAAAUAGUGUGAUUUUGCUUGACUGACACCGCUGUCACAGACCAGCCAGAUAUUAGGAAGCAGACGAAAUCAACUUUUCUUUUCUAACAACAAUAGAUAGAUGCGCCAUGGCCAGAGACACAAAUCAAAUCAAUAGAUAGAUUCUUCUGCUCUUUGCUCUGUGCAAAUACUCUUAUGUGAUAUGGAAUUUCAAGAAAAGUAAAAUCGUAAUUCUAAAGUGAUUGUUUUGUGCAUUUACACCACACACCACAUAAUAACUUCAACUUUGCUUUUACGUGUUUGGCGAUAGGGAUUCAAGUAUAGGAAGCGAUUUGUUCAUUUGUGAGAAGGAGAAUUGACAAUUGUUCUACAGGAAUGUAGUGGUACGUUGUUUUCCCCAUUACAAAUUCCCUGAUGCCACAGCUUGCACAACCAACCAACAGUGCAUUGGUGUUAAAAAACUGCUGAAAUCUAUCAACUAUUUCUCCUUUAUCCUCAUUUCUAAGAUUAUCCUUUAGUUCAUGAAGCAAUUGUUCAGUGACUUUCGGUGCCAUACCACUGCUGUAAAGAUUUCGAGUUGCCGAAAACCUUCCCAGUCCAGAAUUAGUUGCCAAAGCCAUAAGUGCAGUUAUUGGGUUUUUUUCAAAAUCAGCUAGUUGAUUAGCUGUUGGCGGUUCUUUCAAGUCCAGACUAAUCGUAUUUUCAGUUAAAAACUCCUCUGAUGAUUCCAAUAGAGAUAAUUCUCCUCCUGUUGCUACUUCAGUUAUAAUUUCAAUCACCAGAGCAUUGCUGUCCAUGUCUUGAACUUCUGAGGAUUCAUUUUGAAACUGCAAGCACAAUUAAAAUGGACUUUAUUGCUUUCUUAUCAUCAGAAUACUAACAAACAGACUAAUAUAUUUGGAAUCCUACCUCAAUUUCUAUGUCCACAUCAAUCAAUUGUUCUUCAGAUGGCGCCAAAUCAUUUGCAGAAAACAACUGCAUUAAUUGCGAAUUUAAGUAUUGUACGUUUUCAAAAUAAACCACAAAUUGGUUACCGAUAUUCGAUUUUCUUCCACUAAAUCAAAAUCUAAACGGCUGCAUUCCUCGCUUGCCGCCCUUUUCUGCGCCUUAUUAAUAAUCUUCUGCCUGUCUGGUGUGAAAGUACUUUUUUUCUUGCCUCUUUUCGGCAUUUUGAAUGAUUUCGCUCGUAAUGCUCAUGCGGAACUAAACAAAUUCCUACCUCAAUUUCUAACAAAUUUAUUAGUCCGUGUCAGAGGUACGCCAUCUAGCAGAUAAAUCCAUAAUAUAUGAAUGGAAUCACCAUUCCUAGAUGGCGUGUAAGUUUCGAGUUUGCUUCUUGAUGUUGUUUUUAAGUCUAGAAUUUGGUGUUACUUGGUGUUACGAAUUUCGUGAUACAGAUAUAUCGGCCGAAAUAUAGGUUUUCGAAAUGGCGAAGGCGUCCAUCGCCACACAGUGUUUCAGACCUAAUUCAUGAUAAUAGAGUAAGAUCAUUCGCAUUUGAUUUCAUCACUAGUUUUUAGCCCUUGGUACUUUUUUCCCCCCUUCGAGCUGUGGUCGUGUGAUUUAUAAGUUCUGAAAAUUAUCUAAUGCAUAUUAUCUCACCAGCACGCCGGCCCGCUUUUCAGAUUGUAUCGUCCACCUUCUUUCCUUAUGGGAAAACAAGGUCCAGAAAUGUACUGGAAGACUUUGAAUCCAGGCCAGCAGCUGCAAAUAUCAAGGUGCUGUUCUUAAGCUUUGAAGACAUUUUAAAAGCUCUUCAAACAACUGCAUCCGAGUCAUUGAACACAAGGCAACUUCACUAUCACAACAAUGAAAACAAUGUGGUCAAUGUUGCGAGAAACAUUUUUAUUAUGAAGAUUCGUUGAUGUUUGAAUUCCUUUUUUAAAAAAUUGUGUUCUGCUUCAUCACCUUAAUUUAAAUACGUUAACAGGGGUGGCCUUGCUGGCCAACAAUUUGUGUUUAAGCGUGUCACUGGACCAACGACUGAUCCUCUGGAAACGAGAAGACACUCGACUUAGAUGGCUCUCGCCCGUUUGCUGCGACAUAUCCGACAUUCAAGGUCUGGACGUGUCUGUGGGUGCCUCCAAAACUUCUUUGCCCAAAAUCCUGGUUUACGGUCAAGGUAUUCAAAUCUUUGAAGUGGACAACUUGUUCAACAUCACCGAACAUCACUCACAAAAUAGACUAUUCAUCUGUCGACCCGUUAUCCGACUAAGGUAAAAAGAAAAAUACAAAAUAUAUUUUGCAUGGCGCGCU